AUUGAACGCUGGCGGCAUGCCUUACACAUGCAAGUCGAACGGUAACAGGUCUUCGGAUGCUGACGAGUGGCGAACGGGUGAGUAAUACAUCGGAACGUGCCUAGUAGUGGGGGAUAACUACUCGAAAGAGUGGCUAAUACCGCAUGAGAUCUACGGAUGAAAGCAGGGGAUCGCAAGACCUUGUGCUACUAGAGCGGCCGAUGGCAGAUUAGGUAGUUGGUGGGAUAAAAGCUUACCAAGCCGACGAUCUGUAGCUGGUCUGAGAGGACGAUCAGCCACACUGGGACUGAGACACGGCCCAAACUCCUACGGGAGGCAGAAGUGGGGAAUUUUGGACAAUGGGCGCAAGCCUGAUCCAGCAAUGCCGCGUGCAGGAUGAAGGCCUUCGGGUUGUAAACUGCUUUUGUACGGAACGAAAAGCCCUGGGUUAAUACCCUGGGGUCAUGACGGUACCGUAAGAAUAAGCACCGGCUAACUACGUGCCAGCCGCCGCCGUAA
rnacentral:rRNA from 1 species